ensembl:lncRNA
GCUGUUUUAGAAAAGUGACUAUGUACAGAUUCCCUGAACUUAGUAUCUGAUUCUAUCUUCUAAGUAGAUAAUAUUCUUAAGAAGUCUCAAGCACAGUAGUACAUUUUUUAUGUCAGCCCACAAUGCCCUUUGAAAUCUUUUUAUGGAAGCUCAGAGAAGACAAAGAAUUGGAAAACGUAGCUUUAGAAAUCUACUUUUAAAAACUGAUGGAAGCACAGAGGCAUUUACAGUUAAUCCACAGAUUCGUGAAGCUGCAAUUUUUAAAAAUUUCCUUACUUCAUGACUAUAUGAAACAUAGAGGAAUGAAUGAAGUAUGGAUGUUCUCAGAUGUUGCAGACAUUGCUCUUCUGCCUUCUGGCACUCCCUGAAUGCUGCUGUGGAGAGAUCUGGCCCCCAGUCCAUCUUUCCCUCUUGUGGAUGACUUUCUCUCCCUGUCUGGAUGCCUAGGCGAGUCUUUGUUCUCGAGGUUCAAUGACUUCAAGAUGAUAUGCUUUGGUAACCUUUGUCAUAUUAAAAUAUCACUGUCAUAUGAGAGGAUUUCUUCAGAAUCUGCUGGUCUUUGAAUAUCCAUUCAUAUUUAAGGGUGAGGUACUAAAAAGGUAAGUGCCAGCUCCUUCUUUGAGGUAACCAAGUGUAGGUAGCUGCAUUUUUGCUCAAGUAGCUCAUUUUACCUAAAGAAGAGUUUUAAAUCUUCUGCCUAAGUUAGUGGGUGGGGUGUCAGUUAAACACUUGGCAGUCUGCAUUUUUGGAGUGUGUCAAAAUAAUGGGGCUGGAGAGGGGGAUUGUUCACUCUUCUGUCUGCAUUGUUUCACAUAAUCUUCCCAUUUCCAGUUAGGUGUCCUCUCUCUUCACUCAGAUGAGCCUGGUACUCCCCAGUCCAGAACUUCUCAUUCAGUUUCUCCAGUUAGUGCCCUUUCUCUCUUUCCACGUUUGAGGAAUGGGUUUUUGUAUUGCCACAGAGACUCAUACUUGUUCAAAUAAUCUUUCUGUUUUCAACCAAACCAUUGGUGUGGUAGAAACCAGAGUUGCUUGAUGCUUCUAAUUAAUGAAUUAUUUUUAGUGUCCUGUGACAUGAUUGGCUCACGUUUUGUUAUCUUCGCCCUUUAUUGAAGACUCACAGCAGAUAUAUCAGACAGAGUUCAAUCAGAAAAAUAGAACAAUGAGGUCAUUAUGUGUAUUAUAUAUUUUAAAGAAUUUGUUACAGGAAUUUGAACUCGCGUAGUUGUGGGAACUGGCUAGGCAGAGUCUGCAUGAUUCUUAUCUUUGCAUGUGAUGUGGGAACUUGAAGUCCACAGGCAAGGCAGUUGGGAAGUAAAGAUGGCUGCAAAGUAGGGGUGAGUAAGGACAAGGUGGAAGCCACAAGCAUGAGCUGGGGAUCACAUGGACAGAUCAACACCUCGCCAGUUUUUUAAAUAUGUGUGUGUAUAUAUAUACACAUAUACACACAUAUUAAAACCAUUUAUAUAAAACCAUACAUAAAACCAUAUAUAUGGUUUUUUGCUGAGAAGGAUUGGCCCUGAGCUAACAUCUGUGCCAAUCUUCCUCUAUUUUAUAUGUGGGAUGCCUCCACAGCAUGACUGAAUAGUGGAAUAGGUCCGUGCUCAGGAUCUGAACCCACAAACCUGGGCCACCAAAGUGGAAUGCAUGGAACUUUAACUACUUGGCCAUGGGGCCGGCCCCCCUUGUCAGUUUUUUCUGCCUCUGAUCUUAGCAGUGUAUGUGUCCCACAGAAGCCAGGACACUUCUUCAAGGAGCUAAGCAUACACAACUGGCCCAGAAAUCAGAGAAACUGAGGGAGAAUCGAGAGGUACAAGGGCCAGCUUCAGGCUCCACCAUUGCCUCAUGCCACCAGGUGAGUCAGUAGAUAAGUGACAAAGUAUGUGAGCUACAAAAUGGCUGCUGCUGUUCCUCUGCUCUGGAUAUCUCCUACAAGAAUCUCACUUGCGGCACACUCUAACUGAAAAAAUAUAAGAAAGGAAAUUCUGGGAAAUGUAGUUCAGCCUGGCCAAGUUAACAGAUUACAAAUCAACCAUAGGAGAUCAAGGAAAGCUGAACUCUUAUUCUUUGUGUCCUGGUUAAUCUUGGUCAUCCUCUCCAUUCCCAGAUCAAUUUUCCACCUUUCUCUGCAACACAAGAGGCUGACCUUUAUCAAUUGCAUCAUGCAGACUCCCUUGCAUUCUGGCUUCUGGUUGGGAUUUGGCCAAUGAGAAGUGCUGGCGUGCAGUGAGGAAAGCUGGAGUAGUUAUUUCAUACUCUUUCCAUGUCUGGUUGUGAUUCCUGAGUGAUUGAAUUCCACAGUGGCCACAACUGCUCUCCGGAGGCUCCUCUUUCACAUCUCCAGUUCUUUCCAAGCUUCUGAAACACCAAUUUCUUCAUCUGGCCCUUCAAUCCUAGGGCUGAUAAUGAUGUUCCAUUGUUACUGGUCCCUGGGUUCCCAGCAUCUCUUAUUGCCUCCUUAACACUUCCUUCAUAGGUGUAAAUAGUCCCUUCCACAAAUUGUCUUUAAACCCUUUAGAGUAUAUCUGGAGUUUGUCUUGACCUAUUUUGCAUUAUCCAUUUGCAUUUGUUUCUUUUCUAUCUUUUAAUGGUGUUUUUGGAGGAUGUGUACAUAAACAUGUCUAUCUAUUCUAGAAGUCUAUUUUUAAAAAAAUCUUCCCUGAUAGUAAAACUAUAAUUUUGUGACAAUUAUAGAUUUGAAAUAUACAAUGGAAUUAUUUUUCCCUUAUGCCCAAAAGAGGCACUAAUGAGGCUUAUCUAUAUUUUUACACUGAUUCCAGUUUUAAGACAGCUGACAAUUGUUAUAUUCUCGUGGAGCUUCAAACUGCUGCUCUUUAUCAUCCUUGUUCCUUCCUCACUGCCUUACUGAAUCCACACCUCAAAUUAUCAUACUGCUCCCACCAGGCAGGAGUUUUGGCUCUGCUCACUGUCACCCAUCAGCACACUUCCUUAUCUCUAAAAUUUUAUGGUAGGGAAUUUACAAUGGAUCUUCCUUCAUUCCUGAAUGUUAAACAACUAGGGAUUUAAUCAAUGAAAAAAUGAAUAUAUAGGAUGGACGCACUCUCUCUUUUUUUUCAAUUUUGAGCUCUUUUACAAUAAGAUCUUUCCAUCUUUUGUCUUUGCUUCUUCCAGUAUUUGACAGAUUACUUCAUUUAUUAGGCCCUCAAGAAAGGUAUGUUGGGUUAUCAGAGGUCAGAGAUCACAAAAAGACUAAACGCAAGGAAACUGUAAUAACUUUUCAAAACUUUCUGAAACAGUCCUCCCUCCAUUAUGCGUGGCUUGUAUUAUAGCUAUCCUAU